ACCAGCUCAGUGCUCUCACUGCUGCUCAGCUGCUUGGUGCCAAGGGGCUGUGAAACAGCGUCCACCGCACCUACCACAUUAGUGGUCAUGGCAAGCCCGAUUCCCUCCUCCCCAGGCUCCAGAGGGACUAGAUGGAGCUGCUUUGGAGGAGGGUCUCUGAAUCCCAGAGUGGUAGGAGUGCGAGGGAGGAUUGUGCCAGUUGGUCUCCAUGGGAACACCUUUGCAUUUGAAACCAGUAUUCCGGGCAAGGGCUGCAGAGAAGAGUGUGGUGUUGCAAUAAACAGGCUCUUCAAGAGCUGCCCUUCUAAUGACUGACAGGACCAAGAAGAGCAGUACAGAGGAGAUGGGGGGGGGGGUUGUAAAAUGAAGGUUUUAGCAGAGACGGAGGGAAAUGGAGGAUGGGUGAAAUGAAGGUAUGAGGACAUGUAUGUAUGUAUGUAUGAACAUACCAUAACAAAACCUAUCAUUUUGCUAACAUUAAAAAUUGGUCAAUUGAAAUAACAAUGUGUCAUUUGACAGUCAUGAUUUGACAGCAAUGAUGUAUUAUGCAGGCAAUGGUAUAACUGCAGCCAGAUUACACUAAGCUAGUGUGCAACUAGGAGUGUGGCUGAGUUGGUAUCACACUUGCCUAGAUGUACAAGGCCCUGUAACUUCUGUUUCAAGGGGAUGGGUGCCUCUGGCCUCGGCAGGUACCAACAUUUUAUCAAAUAUGUGCACAUAUGUACACAGACAUGUAUACACAUAACACACGGUUAAAAUAAAAUAUUUUAAAAACAAUCUAGAAUAAACCAGCAGGGAUUUAUUAGAUGAUAUCACAAGGUCAAAGGUAGAUGGUUCUUAAUCAGCAGCUCAACUAUGUAAGGAAAUAAUCUGUUUUCUUGAUCUUUUCCUCAUAGUUCUAAGAUGGCUGCCACUAUGCUAUCCAAUACAUCUCUGUUCAAGGCAGAAUGGAUGGAUAAACAAGUGUCCAAAAUCAUUACCCUUACCUAACACUCAACUUGGAAGACUUUGGCUUAGCCAGAAAUGGGUCACAGCACCACACUUAACUGCAAAGGAUCCAGAGAGAGCUGUGGAGAGUAUGCUGGACUGACUGACUCGUGCCGUGACGUGGGCAUCGUCUUCUGCAGUUUUCCUUGGUUUCAGAAGCUGUUGCACUUGCUCUUGGGCUACUGCUUGAAGUUGCAAACAUCACAACUUGAGUUCCAUAUCAGCACAGAGGCCAAUUAGGGAAACAGGAUCCACAGGCAGGUAACAGAGUCAGGGACAGCCCCACUCCAUUUGUUAGAGGGAGGACCCGCAUGAAGACCAAGAUGAACUGUUACAUAUGUGCAGGGGGCCUAGGUCCAGCAUGUGCUGGCUCUUUGGUUGGUGGUUCAGUCUCUGAGAGACCCCAAGGCUCCAGGUUAGUUGAUGCUCUUGGUCUUACUGUGGGGUCCCUAUCCCCUCCAGGGCCCUCAGUCCUUCCUCCAACUCUUCCCUCCAUAAGACUCCCUGAGCUCUGUCUAAUGUUUGGCUGUGGUCUAUGCAUCUGUUUCAGUCAGCUGCUGGGUGGAGCCUCUCAGAGGACUGUUAUGCUAGUCUCUUGUCUGCAAGCAAAACAGAGUACCAUUAAUAGUUUCAGGGAUUGGUUCUUGCUCGUGGGAUGGGUUUCAAAUUGGGCCAGUCAUUGCUUGGCCAUUCCUUCAUUCUCUGCUCUGUCUUUGUCCCUGCACUUGUAGGCAGGACAAACUUUGGGUCAAAGGUUUGGUGGGUGGGUGGGACCUUCUGGGCUUUGAGAUGUAAAUAAGACUAUUUAGGACUAAACCCCUUUACCUAUGGAUGAUGAAAAUGAGUGUGGCUAUCAUGGAGAUUUGGGCAACAGAAAGAACCUUCUGAAUGUAUACCAUCCAAAACUAACUUGAAAACCAGACAUGUAAAGAAAGUAGCAGUGUUUGUUUUUGUUACAACAUGCAACAAUAGUGAAGCUUUGGCUGUGAACACACACACUCUGUGAUGAUGGUAAAAGAGUAUGUAUAGUAAUGAAUUAAUUCUAAAUUAACUCCAGGGGCUGGAAAGCAGUUGGGACACUGCUCAGUAGGUAGGGACACUGACUGCUCUUGCAGUCCAGAACCUACACAGAUUCAAAUAAACUCACAUUGAAGUUAUAGGACCACCCGAGGGAGUAAGUUCUCUCCUUCCACCAUGAAGGUCCUGGGGUUUGAACUCGGGCUGUCAGGGCUUGGCAGCAAGCACCUUAACCCAGUGAAGCCCCCAAAGCAGUCUUGAGUGUAAAGAGUUUAAAACGCUCCUGGUCUAAACAUCUUGGUUAUCUGCUAAGUGGGCGCAAAUGGAGCUCUAAUGCCAGUUUUGGCUUCAGACUCCAAGUCGCAUAUCUAUCCUUACACAGAAUUCCUUCUAACGCCCCCACUUUGUUCCGUGAUAUAAACUAUCACCACUAACCCUGGCCAAAAAGAAAAAAGAAAUAAAGAUCCACACCCUCCAAACCACAAAAAUGUCAGGUAUUAAUAAAAUAUGAGAGUCCUAAGCAGACUUGCUCUGUGCACCACUUCGCGGGCAACAAAAAACUGCACUGUCUACCCUGUUUCUUUCUGUUCAUUUUUAGACACCCGAUCAUAGACAUUUCCAUGUCAAAUGUUGACACAGUGGUUUUUACCUUACCGCCCGCACAGUAUUAAUGGAGUAGUUUGGGCAUUUGAUGAGGAGUGGAGAGGGGCAGAGCAGCACACACUAGCUUCACGCUACUCAGUCCUGGCUCCUUAUGAGAGAGGAGGGACUCCUUAGGGACCCACAUUACUUGUUCAAGUCUCUGCACUGGUCUCUGGGCGGCCGUGAGUCACUUCUUUACUCUGUUGCACAGACUGGCUUCUUGCUAUCUACAAUGUGCAUGCGUGAACAGGGGUGCGUUCACACGACCUCUCAGAGGCUGCCAUGCUUGUCAUCUGUGUUAGUCAGCUCCUCACCACUGUGAUAAAGUUUCUGAGAGAAAAAAAAAAAAAAUUCAAAGGAAGAAAGGUGUUUGUGAGCCGUCCAGCGGCUCACAAGGACAGGUACACCUGUAUAGCAGGCCGGCACUGAAAGAGAGGGAAACUAGGAGACAAGAGAAAGAUGGAACCAAGACAGUGUUCUGAUCAAGGUUCAAAUUUUUAAAGGUGGACACGCUUUAUAAAGGAGGGGGGAGGCCCAUUCCCGCCAAAUCAUUCUUGGAGCCCAGCUGCCGGUAACCAAGUGUAGGAUUGUAGGAUCGCAUGUAGACUCCGGAAUAGCUAGGCCGACUUCCAGCAGGUAGCAGCAGCAGCAGUGGCUGAAUAGAGUGAUCUAGGGAGGCAAGCUCCACCCUAGGUAAUCUCCUUAGUGACAACAAAGUCAAGGUCUGGCUCAGCCUGCUUCAGGCUUGUGCUUGUGGGAGGCUACCAAAAGGUAGAUUGGGUUUACCAUUUUAGAGGUUUCAUUAUCCUUGGAUUUGCCACAAGGCAUCCAGGGUGACUGGGAAUGGAGUGGAACAAACCUGUUUAUGUCAUGGCAACCAGACAGCGAGAGAAAGGUAGGGCCUUCAAGUCCCAAUCCUUUUCAUUAGUUCAGGGAUACACCAGAUCUCACCUAUAGUACCCUGCCCUGAGAUGGAAAUAAGAAAACCCUCCUGCCUCCUGCAUGUGCCUGUGCCAGCCUGUGAGUACAACACUCCAUCUCAGAAUCCUACUGUGAUACUAACAGAUACAAACAGAGCACCACCUAGGGGUGGCUGGAGGCAAACACAUGCAGUGGUUUCUCUUGCCCCUCCAAGGAGAAAAGCAGAGCCGAGGU
rnacentral:lncRNA from 1 species